CAACCCUCAAGCCCUGCUUGGUGUUGGGGCCCUACAGCGAUGUAGGCCCUGAAAAUUAGUGGCGGGCUCGCUAUAACUCCGAGCGUAGUAGUAAUAUCUCGCUUUGGAAGUGUAGCGGGUUCUUGCCGUUAAACCCCCCAAUUUUACAA
rnacentral:misc_RNA from 1 species